UACGUAGGGGGCUAGCGUUGUCCGGAAUCAUUGGGCGUAAAGCGCGUGUAGGCGGCCCGGUAAGUCCGCUGUGAAAGUCGGGGGGCUCAACCCUCGAAUGCCGGUGGAUACUGUCGGGCUAGAGUACGAAAGAGGCGAGUGGAAUUCCUGGGUGUAGCGGUGAAAAUGCGCAGAUAUCAGGAGGAACACCCAUUGCGAAGGCAGCUCGCUGGGACGUUACUGACGCUGAGACGCGAAAGCGUGGGGAGCAAACAGG
rnacentral:rRNA from 1 species